UACGAAGGGGGCUAGCGUUGCUCGGAAUUACUGGGCGUAAAGGGCGCGUAGGCGGACAGUUUAGUCAGAGGUGAAAGCCCAGGGCUCAACCUUGGAAUUGCCUUUGAUACUGGCUGUCUUGAGUUCGGGAGAGGUGAGUGGAAUGCCGAGUGUAGAGGUGAAAUUCGUAGAUAUUCGGCGGAACACCAGUGGCGAAGGCGACUCACUGGCCCGAUACCUGACGCUGAGGCGCGAAAGCGUGGGGGAGCAAACAGGG
rnacentral:rRNA from 1 species